GGCUCAGAAACCAGCAUUUAUUGAAAGAGAGAAGGAAUAUCGAUUUUAGGCUAGGUAGUUUAAGAGAGCUAUUGAUUUUUCAUGGAGUAUAUUUAAUUUUCAGAAGGACCAAGAUGUUAGAGUUAGACUUGGCUAUAAAGUCUUUGAACAGGGCAUACCCAAUAGAGUCAAUUACGAGGAUAAAGGGGACAAGCGGACUCUUGAUGAUAUCAGUGCUUUCCACGCCGAACUAGCAGUGGCAUGAGUAGAACGGUGGUAGAAGAAAAGCUAGGAGUGAAGUUAAAAAAAUCAACGACUCAAGUGCUUGAAUUUUCA